rnacentral:rRNA from 1 species
GACGAACGCUGGCGGCGUGCUUAACACAUGCAAGUCGAACGGAAAGGCCCUGCUUUUGUGGGGUGCUCGAGUGGCGAACGGGUGAGUAACACGUGAGUAACCUACCCUUGACUUUGGGAUAACUUCAGGAAACUGAGGCUAAUACCGGCUAGGAGCUUCUGCUGCCUGGUGGGGGUUGGAAUGUUUCGGCGGUUGGUGUUGGAAUCGCGGCUUAUCAGCUGGUUGGUGGGGUAGUGGCUUACCAGCGCUUUGACGGGUUGCCGGCCUGAGAGGGUGACCGGCCACAUUGGGACUGAGAUACGGCCCAGACUCCUACGGGAGGCAGCAGUGGGGAAUAUAGCACAAUGGGCGGAAGCCUGAUGCAGCAACGCCGCGUGCGGGAUGACGGCCUUCGGGUUGUAAACCGCUUUCGCCUGUGACGAAGCGUGAGUGACGGUAAUGGGUAAAGAAGCACCGGCUAACUACGUG